rnacentral:rRNA from 2 species
AAAACGACUCUCGGCAACGGAUAUCUCGGCUCUCGCAUCGAUGAAGAACGUAGCAAACUGCGAUACUUGGUGUGAAUUGCAGAAUCCCGUGAACCAUCGAGUCUUUGAACGCAAGUUGCGCCCAAAGCCAUUAGGCCGAGGGCACGUCUGCCUGGGCGUCACGC